rnacentral:rRNA from 1 species
CCUACGGGGGGCAGCAGUGAGGAAUAUUGGUCAAUGGGCGUAAGCCUGAACCAGCCAAGUAGCGUGAGGGAUGACGGUCCUAUGGUUUGUAAACCUCUUUUAUACGGGAAUACCGCGCCGUACGUGUCCCGUUUUGUAUGUACCUUAUGAAUAAGGAUCGGCUAACUCCGGGCCCGCAGCUGCGGUAAUACGGAAGGUCCGAGCGUUAUCCGGCUUUAUUGGGUUUAAAGGGUGCGUAGGCCGCAUUUUAAGUCUGCGGUGAAAGUGUGGGGCUCAACCAUAGAAUUGCCGUUGAAACUGGGGGGCUGGAGUAUGUGUGAGGCAGGCGGAAUUCGUGGUGUAGCGGUGAAAUGCUUAGAUAUGACGCAGAACCCCGAUUGCGAAGGCAGCCUGCCGAGGCAUGACUGACGCUGAUGCACGAAAGCGUGGGGAUCGAACAGGAUUAGAUACCCCUGUAGUC